AUACGACUUUAUUUACUUCCGUCUCGUUUUGAGAACAAGGUUUGACAUUUUGCGAGGCCACAUUUUAUAACUAAGUUGAACGUCCAAAAAGGGCCAUGUUGUUGUUAUUUUGUCUAAGUUAUCUCAUUGCUGACCAACUGGCAAAACAAGGUGCUCAGUUAGAUCAGCCACCUGUGCAAGUAAGCUACAAGGAGAAAGUUACCAUCAUUAAAUCACUUACCCGGCCAAGACAAGAGGCAGAUGCAUAUCAUCUCCUAAGCAGGGCAGAGCAAGUGAUAAUGGUCAGACUCCGAUCAGGGCACAACCGACUCAAUGCACACAUGCAUAAAAAAUACAGACUGGCCCCGUCACCGACCUGUCCGUGUGGCACAGAAGACCAAACAGCUGAACACAUCCUCCAAAGAUGUAAACGUCACGACCAGGAGCGAGCUACAAAGUGGCCCCAGGACACAACCCUCCAUCAGAAACUUUAUGGAGACGUGGAUGACCUGAGACGGACCACAUCAUUUAUUGAUAAAAUUGGUGUGAUCGUGUAGAGCGAACGCCAAGAAGAAGAAGAAGAAGAAGAAGAUCUCAUGAAAUAAAUAGGAUGAUAAA